rnacentral:rRNA from 1 species
AUUGGGCCACCUCCCAUCCGUGUCUAUUGUACCCUGUUGCUUCGGCGGGCCCGCCGCUUGUCGGCCGCCGGGGGGGCGCCUCUGCCCCCCGGGCCCGUGCCCGCCGGAGACCCCAACACGAACACUGUCUGAAAGCGUGCAGUCUGAGUUGAUUGAAUGCAAUCAGUUAAAACUUUCAACAAUGGAUCUCUUGGUUCCGGCAUCGAUGAAGAACGCAGCGAAAUGCGAUAACUAAUGUGAAUUGCAGAAUUCAGUGAAUCAUCGAGUCUUUGAACGCACAUUGCGCCCCCUGGUAUUCCGGGGGGCAUGCCUGUCCGAGCGUCAUUGCUGCCCUCAAGCCCGGCUUGUGUGUUGGGUCGCCGUCCCCCUCUCCGGGGGGACGGGCCCGAAAGGCAGCGGCGGCACCGCGUCCGAUCCUCGAGCGUAUGGGGCUUUGUCACAUGCUCUGUAGGAUUGGCCGGCGCCUGCCGACGUUUUCCAACCAUUCUUUCCAGGUUGACCUCGGAUCAGGUAGGGAUACCCGCUGAACUUAAGCAUAUCAAUAAACAGAAAGUAGAUAUC